rnacentral:rRNA from 1 species
UACGAAGGGGGCUAGCGUUGCUCGGAAUUAUUGGGCGUAAAGCGCACGUAGGCGGCCGAAUAAGUCGGGUGUGAAAGCCCUGGGCUCAACCCAGGAAGUGCACUCGAAACUGCUCGGCUUGGGUAUGGAAGAGGGUUGCGGAAUUCCCGGUGUAGAGGUGAAAUUCGUAGAUAUCGGGAGGAACACCAGUGGCGAAGGCGGCAACCUGGGCCAAUACUGACGCUGAGGUGCGAAAGCGUGGGGAGCAAACAGG